rnacentral:rRNA from 1 species
AUGUCAUCCUCCUCCUCCCCCGUCGCCAUGGCCUCCCACUCCCUCGCAUCCCUUGGUCACACGAUCACAGAAAAGCUGACUAGGGAGAACUUCCUGGUAUGGAAGGCGCAAGUCCUGCCGCACAUCAAGGCCGCAGGCAUGAUGGGCUACCUUGACGGAUCACGCAAGGAGCCAGCCGCUGUUCUUCUCACCGAGAGGGACCUCGCCGACGGGAAGAAGGAAACCGUCUCCACGCCGAACCCCGAGCACGCUGUCUGGGAGACACAGGACCAACAGGUGCUUACUUUCUUGAUCGCAUCUCUGUCUCGUGAUGUUCUUAUGCAAGUCUCGAACCAUACCACUUCUGCUGGCAUCUGGCAAGCCCUGGUGCAAAGCUUCUCAUCGCAAUCUAGGGCACGAACUCUUCAGCUUCGGUCUGCCCUAGGUAAUACGCGCAAGGAGGACAUGUCGGCAGCAGCCUACUUCACCAAGAUGAAGGGCAUUGCUGACGAACUUGCAGCUGCUGGGAAGCCCCUUGGAGAAGAUGACCUUGUCGAUCAGAUUCUUCAGGGCCUGGUGCACGAACCGGACUACAACGGCUUUGUUUCAGCAAUCUCCACGCGCGCCGCCACGGACCAACCGAUCGGGCUCACGGAGCUCUUCUCGUUGCUCCUGGCGGCUGAAGGUCGCAUCGCUGCCCAGCAGGCAGCGUUUUCGCCAAAUCACUCUGCCAAUCUCGCGUCGCGCGGCGGCGGCCGUGGCGGCAACUACAGCCGUGGAGGCGGCAGUGGUGGCGGCUACAACAACAACUCCGGGCCACCACGCUACAACGACAACUCCGGUGGUGGCUCGUCUGGUGGCGCACCGCGCAACCAGGGUGGUGACCGCGGUGACCGCGGUGAUCGCGAGCGCUGUCAGAUCUGCAAGGAGGAGGGCCAUGGAGCGUGGCGCUGCCGAAAGCGGUAUGACAAGGGCUACAACAACAACGUCCGCAACCCUGCUGGUGGUGGUGGUCGCGGCAACAACGGCGGUGGCGGUGGUGGCAAUGGCGGCCAACCUCGCGCUGCCAAUGCAGCCCACUCCUAUGGUGUGGAUACCAACUGGUAUCUCGACACUGGCGCUACAGAUCACAUCACCGGCGAGUUAGAGAAACUCGCCGUCCGUGAUCGGUACACUGGCAAUGAACAGAUUCACACCGCUAGCGGUCAAGGCUACCCGGAGAACCAUUCUUCAAAACAAGAGUAA